rnacentral:lncRNA from 1 species
GGGACGCUGGCGUGGUACCUGAUGCUGGGAAAGAAUUUACCCAUUUUAAGUCUUUAUGCUGCUCAAUAGAAGAAGUUCAGUUAAAGAAGUAACAAGAAAGUACAGAAGAAAUGCAAGGAAAACUAGUUUAAGACAUUUAGUUAUAAAGGAAAACUGGACAGUGCAGAGACUAAAGAAGCAAAAGGAGUCAAAAGUUGUUAAAAGGUGGAGCAUUCUCUCUCAAGCCAAGGAGUUCUAAGCAUUCUGAAAAAAAAAGAUGAAAGUGAUGACAUUGUGAAUAACUGAAUGACUGGAUGGUCAAUUAAUCUUGCAAGUUCAGAUCGGAUAAAACCUUAGUAUUGUUCAGAUUCUGAAGACAGCACUUACAUUAAUACAAAAUUUAAUGAAAUUUUUGAUCUUAUAACACUGUUCAUAUCAUUGAUAGGGAGUGAAACUUUUGAUAAUGAUUGUCCAAAAUGCUAAUAUGAUGUAAAGGGGCAUUUAGAUGGACUUUGUGCACUGGAAAGUCUGCAAAAAUUCUAACCGUUAUGGGUUAUAUGCAGUGAUAGUACAUGGAGGAGUGUCAAGAAAGCAAUCUAGGCUCUUAACAUUCUUUUACAUAAAACCAGUGAGAAGGCACCUGAGAAUUACAAGUUUGAGGAGAAUUGUAAAAUGGCAUUUCACAACAAGGAUAAUGGAGGCAGGCAUGAAUACAAAGGACUGGACAGAAGAUAUCUUACAUCUUCAAAAUAACAGAGAAAACAUGCGAGUACAACCAUGCCAUUAAUUUGAUGGAUUGUUUUUAAAGGAUACAGCACUUACAUGGAAAAAGUCACUGAAGGCAUCUUGAGAUGUGAGGUUGAAGCAGUUUGACAUCUUUGUGCAUGGCUGCAAAAAUGGCUGUUUCUUCCAACUGUUGUCAGUAGUAAACCUGAUCGAGGAAGUUGUCACAAUGUCCAGUUAUAUUUAGUAUUUCUCACCGAAAACUGAAACCAGUCCAUUGUUACACCAAAAACUAUUACAGCCUGUUCUCCAAAAAUGUUUUAAUCAGUGGAGUCUUAUUUCAGUUGUUGAACGAAAAUGCAACUGAGGAGCAUUAUAACAGUCUGACAGUAGACAAUGAAAGCUAAGGAGCAAUUGCCACUUUUCAGAAAGAAGGUAAAAUGAAUGUUGUUCCUCAAAACGUUUGAAUAAGAAAUAGCAAAUCAAAAGUGAAAAAUAGGAACAGCAAAAUGUGGAGAAGGUUUAGAAACAGCACGCAUACAGAAAGAUUCUUUCACUCAAAACUUUCUAGAUGAUGAAGUACAGGAAAUGGAAAUUAUAUCAAACACGUAUGCAUUGGAAAGCUCAGAUUACUUUAGCAUUGAUAAAAAUGAAAUGGGUAGUUUUGGUUAUACACAGUUUUAGAAAAACGGGUGUGAAAACACACGGAAAAGGAAAAAGAGUACCUUGGACCACAGAUCAAGGUUGAUGAUGUAAAUGAUGGAAGUGUUGAUCAUACUAAAUUUAUGCUUUAUGCACAUAAUUCACGAUUUGUACAAAGAAUUGGUACCAACGAUAUCUGAUUUCAGACAUACAGUCUGUAAUUAUGUUGAACAUUCUUUCACAUAAAGUAGCUGAGCAAGAACUGAUCUUUGGAGAUGUAGGAUCAGGCAUUGAACAUAACAGUAUUCAAGAACAAAAGCCUAUGAAACAAAGAAUGUAACCAAGAAGAAUAAUAGCCGAUUCGGUUUGAUAAACCUGAAUAAGUGCAUUUUGUAUGCAGGUCCAAAUGUUCCAGGUGAAAGGUGUUAAUCACGUGUCAGAAAAGAGAAAGAAGAUGAAUUAACCAAGAAAUAGAAACAAAGGAUAGAUAAAGAUCCAUCUCGUAAAGGUCAAGAUCUUAAAGAAGCAGUGGAAUCUGGACCAAAAUUUGCUUUCUUUCUCGAAAGUAAAUAUAAAUGAGAAGUUAUUGGUAGAAAAAUUUAAAAUAUGUUAGAUAAACUCGAGAAAUGUCGUUGCAAUGAAAGUUUGAAACAUAUUUGAUCUACAGGUAUUGUAGGAUUUUUCUGCAUUGAUGCAUUGAAUGUAAAGAUUUUAAGUGGAAUAGUUUUAAACUUGAAGAGGAGAGACUGCUAUACAUAUAUAAUGUUGAUGUGAGAGGAAUUCUUCAUGAUGAGCAGUACAUUGACAAUUUUCAGCAGAAAAUAUUUUCAUUUCUGGAACGAACUUGUAAGAAGUAAGUGUAAAAUAUUGCAGAACAGCUGUAGACAAAGUGGUAAUAGUCUCCAAUUUUAGAAAAAGAGGUAAGUUUGUAGAUAUAUAGAUAGAAUGCGGUUAUUUUAGUAUGGAUCAAAGUAUCUUUCACAGACUUGAAAACAUCAAUCAGCAUGGUGUUCACAAGUGAAUGAUAAGUUGAUCUUUAUUAUAAAGAAGUAUAAUCGUCACCUCAGUGCAAGAAGUGGAUAACUGCAUUGACUUAAAGAAGGACUUAUUCCCUUUUUGCACUAAGGUGACGAUAUGUUAGUUAUAUUGUGAAAUACAAUGUAGUUUAAUUUCAUGGGCACAAAAUUUCAGGAUUUUUGCUGAUUUAAAAGCAGAUAUUUUGGGUCUUAUGACUUUGUGGAUUUCAACUUUUGCACAUAGAAUUAACAGGAAAUUUACAUGACUGAGAUUCUAAUUUUGUAGAUUGUCUCAUCUAUGAAAUCCACAAAAAUAGGCAUGUUUACUGAUGAUUUGCAAAAUCUAUGAAAAUAUUCCCGCAUAUAUAUGGAAGAUGCAACUAUUGUCUUUUCAAUGUUUUGAAAAAAAGUGUUUACCACUUUUUUCUAAACGAUUGAAAAGUAUCUAAUAAUAAUAGUUUAAGACACUGUAACUUGAAGUCUCUUAAAUAAUACAUAAAUUCACACUAUGCACACUGGACGUGUUCUGAAAUUGAAUACUUGUAUUGUGGAUGUGUUAAGGCAUGAAAAAAAUGUUUGUAACUAGUAAAAUAAAUGCGAAUAAAGGGGUUAUAAUGCCUUUAGAGCUUACUUUAAGUAAGUUGAUUUCUAACAAUUCUGACCAUUUUUUCAGCAUUAAAAGUGCAGUUCUGUAACAUUUUGUUAAAAAAUUGGAAAAGAAAUUCUUCAAGGCCCUAAACAUGAUAAAAGCAUUAAGGGUCUGGCCAAAAGUUUAGGGUAGCUUGAAAUACUAGGUACAAACAAUUUUUUAGGCCUUAAUUAACAGUUUAAUAUUUGUCAGUUGUGUGAAAUUGAAACAUGUUUGAAACAUUGCUAUAUUGUGUAGACUUAAGCUUGUUUUACAGAACCUGGUGUACUUGAAAGUUUUACAUCUUGUUUACCGGGUAUUAUGUAGUAGAUUCUAUCAAAGUUUUUAACACUGUUAAAUACAUAAUAGAAUACUAUACUGUUACUGUUGUAGACAUAUGCUCAGUACUUCUAGAAACUAAACAGUUUCACCCUUGAUGUUUUCUUACUAUCAUUGUACAUGUUUAUUUGAAUUUUGUGCAGUAGUAUUGUAAAAUCAUGUAGAAAUCUAAAAACAGUCAAGUAAAUGUUAUUGUAGUUUUCUUGUCAGUUAUCAUUGACAUUGACCAAGUGUUGCUGUUGUGUUUCUUGAUGUACUUUGUAUAUGAUAAUAUUCCAAAAAUAGGCUGUAUAUUAUACCUAAUAUGUCGUUUUGGGAUUAGGACUAGGCAGGUUGUUUCCACUUAAAAUAUUUGCAUUUAGGAUAAGUAAUUGAGAUGUGGGCUAGGAAUGACCAUGCUCAAGUACAUUUGCACAAAAAACCUUAAUAUAGUCAGGGCUAGACACUAACUUUUUUCCAGUGGUGGUCCGAAGGACCAGCAGCUUUUGCAAACUGAUGGUCCGACAGAAUUUCAGGUGGUCCUACCUAGAUGGAUGUUGUUUUUUUAAGUUAACGCAACCAGUAACAUAUGAGACCCCCUCUUCUUUCAUGGAGUACUUUUUACAAACACUGCAAAACAUGUGAUUUUUAUAUUAUUAUUUCGAUAAACAU